AAGGAAUUAGAGCGCCGCUAAGUUAUCUAGAUUAGACCUUGAGGCAAUGCAUCUUAGUCAUUUAUCUUUAAAUUUGGUUUAGGUUUACUAUUAUUGUCAGUUUGCUACUAUUAUCGUCAGUUUGCUACUAGUCAGUUGUAAUAAAUGCCUCAAGAUUAAUAAAGAGUAUUAUUAUUAUUAUUAUGUCUUGUGUGUCUCUACUUUAUUCUUGUGCAAGAAAGCAAAAAACAAGUAUGGGGGAGAUCCCUCGACAUGCCAAACACACUUCGACUACACCACUCCACGAUUCAGGUACACACUCUGCACACUUUACACAUACACAUAUAUAUCUUGGAUUAUGCAGAAUAUUGUUUCCAACAUGAUAAAUUAACAAGCUUAAAAUGUUUCUAAAUAUGAUUAAUCUCACUCUGUGAUAUUUCCUGAAACUUGCACUUAUUGAAAAAAUCAUUUUAAAACCCUGUGUUGCUUAAGUCAGUGUGGAAUGUGAGAUGGUAAAGUAUGAGUUUCUUAUUCUUGAUAUCAUUGUUGCUUGGAGGAUUUAUUUCAAAAAUCUUCAAAAUUCUAGCUACCAUCCUCAGUGUUUUAUAUGCCUGAUAAAACUGAAAAUAUUAAUUAUGAUUAUAAAGGCUAUCUACUCUGUAUUGAGUUUGUUCAAAAUGAGUUAGACCCUUGUUGAGAGAUUUAUCAUGCUCCUAAGAUCAAGACAUUUAUUCAGAAAGAUUCACUCUUCCGAAGUAUAAUUGCAUCAGAGGCAUGGCCUAUGCAAUAAUAAAGAUAUUUCGAGGAAAUAAAAAGGAGCAAGUGCUCGAUAACCGCGCAGAAAAAAAUGGACAAGCGUCCAACAGUAGAAUUAGGGGUACCUCUCUAUCCACUUAAAAAAAAGAAGAAAAAGAAAGAAAAUGAUAGCCCAUGGUGCCUCUAAUAAGCAAUAUGCUAGCAAGAGUUGACAAAACUUUUAAUUUCCAAAGUCUUUGAUCUAAGAGUAUGACAUUCCCCUCCUCGGAUCCCGUUUUGAUCAGGCAAUAAAUACAAGGUAAGUAUGCUUGAGAAUUUUUUGCAAAUUAAAACAGCCUCAGUGAGAUAUAUAAAAGAUAUUGAGUGAUCUAAGAGAACCUAUGAGGAUAAAAAGUAUGCUAACUUUCUUUCAAAAAUAUACAAAAACUCCAAGUGACAGGAUUAAGAAGAAAGGAUCUUUAGUCUUAACCAUAUACUUCUUUGACUAUAGUACACAGUGGAUUUGAACACCCUACAAAUAUAAAAAAAUGUUUUACCUCAGAUAUUGUUCUUAACCAUCCUUUUCUCGAUGACGAGUAAAAGCCUAAGUAUGGGGGUAUUUGUUGACGGUUCUUAAGUAUCAAUUUUAAUUAUCAAAUAAACAAGAGAAAGGACCAAUAUGCAACCAACACCUAGAAUUAGGGUUUGAUCUGACAGAAUUCCACGAGUUUUGUUGUUUAUCUGUUUCUGCAGGGGGUUAUCAGGGAAUAAGGAAGAAAGGCCCACAUGUCGGGAUUACAUAGAGAUAACAACGCACCGCGCAAUUUUCUACCAUCUAGAAGACUCCAGAAGCCACGGG
rnacentral:lncRNA from 1 species